rnacentral:rRNA from 1 species
AUUCCAGCUCCAAUAGCGUAUAUUUAAGUUGCUGCAGUUAAAAAGCUCGUAGUUGGAUUUCGGGCGGUUGACGACGGUCCGCCUCUGGUGUGCACUGCCGUUCAUCCGCCUUUCUGUCGGGGACGUGCUCCUAGGCUUCAUUGUCUGGGACACGGGUUCGACGUGGUUACUUUGAGUAAAUUAGAGUGUUUAAAGCAGGCUUAUGCCAUUGAAUACAUUAGCAUGGAAUAAUAAGAUAGGACUUUGGUGGUCUAUUUUGUUGGUUUGCACACCAAGGUAAUGAUUAAUAGGGAUAGUUGGGGGUAUCCGUAUUUCGUAGUCAGAGGUGAAAUUCUUGGAUUUACGAAAGACGAACUACUGCGAAAGCAUUUACCAAGGAUGUUUUCAUCA